GGAGAGGUGGCAGAGCGGUUGAAUGCGGCGGUCUCGAAAACCGUUGGGCCGCGCAAGCGGUCCCGGGGGUUCGAAUCCCCCCCUCUCCG
rnacentral:tRNA from 1 species